GCACGGUAUCCAUCUCGCUGUGUUAAUUUACUCUUUCUUGAUAACUGGGAGGCUUCAGGAACAGAUUGUCCAUGAAUCUGGUCGCAUAGAGCCCUAGUUGCGGAUGGGGCUGGCAGAAGAAUCCAGACUCAUUUCAUGCUUGCUUUCCUUUCUUUUCAGCUUUUUCUCCUCCCUGCCUUGGCCUCUCACUUUCUCCCUCUCUCUUUCUCCUGUCUGUUCCUUCCUACUCCUCACUCUUCCCUGGCCCCUCUAGAUUAUUGAUUGGAAAUCACCAAAUAGUUUCUGUAACCAUGUCAUCAAUGGCUGCCAAGGCUCUUGUCAUUAUUCUAGCCACACAGAGUAAAUGACUGGGGGAAAAUGGCNNNNNNNNNNNNNNNNNNNNNNNNCCCGCCAAGUCUUUAUGCAAAAGCAGCCUGUUCAAGCAAGUGAGUUAUUUCACAGAGCCCCUAGUUUAGAGUGUCUUAAUUUUCCACAUUUCUUUGGCUUGCCCUUGCUACCUUCCUGCCUGAUGCACAUUAGAGAGGAAGUACACAAAGGAAUUGUGCAAAGUUUGGAAGCAACUGGCAGCUCUGGAGUAAAUGAGUAAAAGCUAUUGAAUGUGGUGUUCCGAUGAAAAAAAAAAAGGAAGGCUGGUAGAGCCAGAGAGCUGGAUUCAGAUCCCAGGUCUUCACUGUAAUUGCAGGUAAGAUAGUAAUUUUUGUCUCCCUAAGUCUCAUGUUGCUCACUGAUCCCAUGGAGUUAGGAUGAUUGAUUUUCUAUACAUAUUUAUAGCUACACAUACAUGUAGAAGAGUGCAUGGAAUUCCUAUGGAGGGUUGGUUGGUUGAGAAAGGUAGAGGUUGCUGAAAUUCAAGUGGGUCAAAAGUAGCAAAGGAAGAAAAACCUAUUUAGAUCUAGAAGUCCAUGAUGAUGGUAUACUGGGGUGAAAUGCUUGCUUCAUUUUGGAGGAACCGAGAGGCAGGAUGAUUCCAGGAGCUUCCAUAUGAUAGCUGGCCUGUAAGUGUGGGAGUG
rnacentral:lncRNA from 1 species